CGUAAACAGAGUAUUUCAAUAAAUCGUAAACUGUCCAAAUUUAAACUUUUAGAUAAAAAAUAGUAGAUUCUCAAUAAUUCUAAAUAUCCGUGGUUUAAUGUUUGCUAUUUUGGCCUGAAUAUUUUUAAUUCAGUUUGAAUUCUCAACAAUUCAUACUUUUAACCUGGCAUUGGUACAAACAUAAAUUGUUAAUUACUAUGAGCAGAGCUUUUUACAGACUAUGGGAAAAAAGAUAUUUGGGGAUGGGAUAUACAGUUCAGUCCCCAGCUCUGAUGAGGGAAACUGCUCAGUAAAUUGAAAACAGACUUCACUUGGACUUUUGGGAAAGCAAAAUACACCUUUGGGUUGAAGAACUCUGGUGACAC